rnacentral:tRNA from 1 species
GGGCGGGGAGCGCUACACUGAUAAUGUAGAGGUCCGUGGUUCAAGUCCACGAUCGCCCA